UCAGUUGCUCGGCGGCGGCGGCCGCGGUCACCGGGCGGGGGACGGGCCGGCCGGCGAUGGUGGUCGCCCCAGCGGCACGCGCGCCUUCCAGGUAUCUGCCUGAACUGGAGCUUAUGCUGUAGACAUUUCUUUGUGGAAUUCAUCUAAAAACCUGAGUGUUUUGUUCCCCUAGUUGAAUUCUUCAGAGGAAGAGCGAAAGAGCCUUCUAGUUUUCGAACUCUUGAGGCGUGACUGUUUCAAUUUAUCUCCUGCUUACCAGGAAAAGAAUAUUUGAGGACCAUUUGUAAAGAAAGAAAAGGAAGCAAUGACAUAAUGCCUGGUGGUGGAGCCAGUUAACUGGUAAACAUUGGAGUCUUCAGAAAAUAAGUGAAGGAAUGAGAGGCAAGGAAGAAAGUGUAUUCAUCCUGGAAGGACCUAAAACACUUUGAAACUUUAAACGAAUGUAAUGAUAGCUGUCAAAACCACCUUUGUCACCGUAAUGGAUGAAGUACUUCAGAUUUAACCGGUAACCAGAAUUCUCAUACUGUGCUACACUUCCACCAAGAACUUUCUAUGACUUGAAAGGAUUUCUCUUUAAGUUUAAAUAUUUACUGUACGAAUACCAAAGUAUAGACAAAGCUGGUAAUUUUAUAACUUACGUAGCAUAGUCAGGUCUUUGUUUUGGCCUUUAAUGUUUGACCCCAGUAUUGCUCAAAAGAAUCGUUUUUUCCCCAGGUUAUGAACUUCUUAUGUUAGAAACAGAUAAGCUUGUUUGAGUAGAAAUAUAGCAGAGUACUAGUAUAUUUAUAGGUCCAUUCUUCACUAAAUACUUUUCCUUUCAUAGUAAGAACUCAGGCAGCAUGAAAUGGUAACAUACUAUCACCUAUGAGGUGUUUUAGUCUCCUUCUCUGAACUUUAUUUCAUGUUGUUUAGAUUCCUUACUUGACAUCUGGUCUCUUGCUCUUUUUUGCCUUCCUAUCUGACGUCUUUUUAUUUUAUCCUUAUUUGCUUCUUUGCCCCCCCCUCAGGAAUUUAGAGUCAUAAAAAAACACAAGAAUCCAGAGUAGAAGGGAAAAACUGGAAAAGAUUAUAAAAGUGUUUCUUCUUGUGAAAUUACAAGGACUGUUACUGUCAGGGAGAGUGGAAAGCAACUGUAGGAAGACUUAAGAUUCUUUGUCAGUCUUCUUAAAUCUCCUUGAUCUUAGGCCAUAAUUGUUUCAGUGUCCGUUUUGUAAAGAUUCAAAUGUUUGCAAAUAUUUUAAGGCAUCCUAGUGAACAAUUCAUUGCUAGUGUACUGAUUUUAUUUUGACAGAUAGUCAUUUGUUUGGGUCACUGUGUCUUGGUAGUGAAUGGGUGCAGUUGACUAAAACUAGGCUCCUGUGGUGAAGCGCAGAUGUGACAUCAAACACAGUAUCCAUUGCUCGUCCUAAUAAUUCUAAGGAAUACAGUACCUAUUUCAGGGGAAUUAUUCAAACUGACAAGUGUAACCCAGGAUAAAUUGUAUAUGAAGAAUGAAUGUUCUUAUUAUUCUUUCCUGUGCUAAUAUUAACCUUGAUUUUAAAAAUACCUGAAUGUUGAUUUUUAAGAAACUUCUCCAAUAGUUGAUUUAGACCUCUACUUAGGGCACAGUUAGAACUUUUCCAUAUUCUUACCACUACCAUGCACGUAGCAGCAUUUAGCCCUUUCUAAAUGUCCAGCAAAUUCUUUCUACUUCUCAACCAUUAAAAGAUAAAGUUGAAGAAAGUAACUUUUGAAACACAGCAGAAGUUAAAGUGCGGAAUGUUCAUUUACACAGGUAAGGCAAUAUGUAAAAAGUCAUCACAUUUCUGUCUCUUCCUCGGCAAUGAUCUAAGUUUUCUUUACCCAUGUAAUUAUGUCUGAUUCUGUAGUCUUACAUAACUAUAGUUUCAUUAAUGAGAUUAAUACAUUAAAUAUCAAAAACAAACAGCAUUGUCAACAUUUUUACUCUGGUACUUUUACCACUCCUCAUUCAAACUCUUAAUUCCAUUCAGUCUCUCUCAGUAUACUUAGUAACCUGGAUAAAAAUCAUUGAAAUCUAUAGAUAUUGGAUAUUUCCAAGUAUUAAUGUUUUUCCGGAGUUAAAAUGUUAUCAAGGAACAGACUAGGAUAGAACUUGACCUCUUUACAAACUGAAAGAACUGCACUGAUUCUCUCAUCUUGCUUAGUUCAGAAGUCAUAUAACUCAUAUCCAUGAGGUAUAUAGAAUUAAAGAAGACCAUCUGCAUUUACAUAUUUAAUUUUUCUGGCCUCAUUCAAGCUAAGUGCCUUCCAAAUCCCAAGUCUAUGAUGUUUGAAGAGGGAAUGGAAUUAGGUUUCUAGUUGUGCAAUUAACAGGAUUUCUCACUUGCACAAUUAGGAAUUCAUAUUUCUAAUUGUGCAAACUAUCAUGGCCACUUUUAAGAGGCUAGUAUUUAAAAGACAUUCUAGCUAUGUAAUGAUGUAAUGUUAAAAUGGAGUCAGUUUUAUCUAAAUUCAUUUCACUAGCUUAAAAUUGCGGUUCUUGGGGGUGAAGGAUAUGUUCUUGCAGAGAGUAAGACUGCUCUAAACAAUAUAUCCAUCUAGAAUCUUGAAUUUAUAAGGGUUCGUAGGCCUUUAGAACAUCCUCUACAGCACCUUCAUUUUGCAAAACUGUCUUUAUGAAGGGAAGCCUAUGUACAAUUUGCAGAGAAAAAAAGAAAUUAAAUAAUAGUGAUUAAUGUGUAUUGAGUGAUUACCAUAUGCCAAGCAUUGGGAUCAGUGUUUAAAUGAAUUAUCUCAAGUUUCACAACUGUAUUUGACAUGGGUCUUAUUAUUAAAUAUCUCCAUUUACAUUUACAUAUGAGGAAACAUAUUCUUAGAGAAGUUAAUUGCCCUACAUCAAGUUUGCUAGUUAGUUGUAGACCCAGUUCUGUCUGACUCCACAGCCUGAGCUCUUAACCAGAAAUGUGUUCUGGUUUACAAAUACUCAGUACAAUGUGUUGUGGUUGCUUCUUUAUGUAGUCGUGAAAGAUGGCAAGUUCUUAUUCUUGGCAGCAUUCUCAUCUCAGCUUUGUGAAGUUAUGCUUCCUUGAGACACAUAUUAUAUUUCUUUUGCAGCAUCAAUUUUAUUUUGUCAGUAAUUUAUCAUUAUUUUGGUUGUUUUUAAAAUGUUAGUAAUAAAAAGAUGAGCCACUCCUAAGUAAAGACUAAGUUACUUGAAGAUGAAGACCCACAUUUUAUUUGAGAUAGAAACUUAGAAGACAGAGAAAGAUAGGAGAUAGGGAUGGGGAAAAAAUGCAAAACUGACCUCUGCUCAACUGUCCUCUCUUGAAGUUUUAUUUGCCUUUGUCUUUAUCACCAGAAGUUCUUAAUUGUUUUUCAGUCUCAGAGACUGAUACUAUCCCUAAAGACUAAAAUAGUAAUGAAUCCAGAGACCAAUUUAUCUUAAUAGCAUAAUUUUUUGUCAGUUUACAUAUAGCCCCUUCAAAUAGAUCUAUUUCGUAUUCUAAGCAUAGAAAAAACAAAGUAUAUUAACCUGUCAUCAAGGUUUAAGAUGAUUAAGCCUGUCGCCAAGACUCAGCAUAUUCAAGACAUCAGUUUUCCCCAAAUAAAUAUACAGGUUUAACUGAAUUUCUCAAAUCCCAGCAAGAUUUUUCAUAUAUUGUUUGCCAUUUUCCACCAAGUUCCUUCUGUCCUCCGCAUUAACACUGUCCUUCCUCCUCCACCAUAGGAAUUGUAGCCGGUUCCCUUUUGAGAGUGUUUUAGCCAAUUGCAUGAUAACCAAACAAUGUGAUCAGAUGUUUUAGUUACUAGCAGUUUUUCAGUCCAAAGUUUAGUGAAUCUUAAUUUUCUGAGAUUUUGCUUAAAUAAGAAGAGUGUUUCAUGUCCCCCCUGAAAAAAGCUGUAAUAGGAGGAAAAGCAAAAAUAAAACAAAAAAUGUUAUUUCAUCCUUGCUUUCUAAACUGAGGCUAUAAAAUUCAGAAUGAUCCUAUAGAUUCUUUUGGAGAGAAUGUUGAGAUAUCUUCUGGAUUACCCCUACCUUCUUGUGGGACUAUCAACUUACCUGACUAAUGGAAUAAAUGUCAUGCCAUUUUGUAUUACUGACUCAUUCAUUCAUUCAUUCAUUCAUUCAUCACAUAUUUGCUUGGGAAAAAUGACAUUUGCAAUAGGUAAAAGUUUUUAAACUUCUUUUUUGCUAACAUAGCGUCAAGGGGUUUGUAUCUCCUCUGUCUCUCUUGGCUAUAAGUAUGUCACUGCGAAAGGCCAGGGGUACAUAAGAAGGGUCUAUAGUACAGGGCCUGUCCUCAGUGGCUCACAAUCUAGCAGGGCAGGCAAACAUGUAAAUAGAUGUCCCCUGGUAUCAAGUGUUUAAUGGAAGUGUGAGCAGAGAAUUGUGACAGUGCUUUUCCCUACGUGGGAAGAGUGAGGGAAGGCUUCCCAAACCACAGAGGUAUCCUUGAUGAGUGUUACUGGAUGAAUAGGAGUUUACUACCUGGGAACAAGCUAGAGAAAAAGAAUUAUAAGCAAAGGGAAUAUUAUAUGCAGAGAUAUACUUUUCUAGAAGGAAAAAAGUCCUAGAGUUUUUUAAGUUGAAAAGGUUAUCUGGGAUCUUUAAUUUUGACACCUUGCUUAACAUAAAAGGAAAUGGAAGCCCUUGGAAACAAUUACUUGCCCAAUAUUACUCAGAAAUUGCGGUAUCACUUCAAGUAUUCUUUCAAAUUAUACACUAAAAUAUAUAAAAUGUAUUUUGGUCAGACAUUACUCCCAAGAAAGAAGAUUCUUGCUCAUGUUUUCCUUGUUUAUAAAUCUACAUCACUUCCAAGCUAAAACAUAACCAGGUGUUACUUUUAUUUCUCUUAGCAGUUUUUUAUUAUGAAAAUUUUCAAGAAUUCAUAAAAAUUUGGAAUAAUCAGCUUUUAUCUCACCACCAAGGAUGAAAUGAAUGCUAACAUUUUGUCAUUCUUGUUACAAGAAAUUAAACAGUUUAGGAAAGUUUGAAAUCCUCUUUAUAUCACUCUCCAAUCUCAUUUCUAUCCUUCUUUUUCCAGAGAAAAUACUCUUUGAGGUUGGUGAAAUCUAUUCUUAAUGUGAGUACUCAGAAAUAAUAUGCAAUAUACAUGAUGCAAUUUUGCAUUUGUACAUUUGCAUCUUUCAUUGGUAUGUGAUAUUUAAUUGUAUUUUUGCAUAUGAGAUUGAGAUAAAAUAGAACAUAAUAGAGUAGAUAAUAUACUCUAGUCAGCUGUGCAGAUUUGCUGUUGUGUUGUGGCUUUGUUCUCUUCUUGCUACCCAGAGUGCUUAGUAAAUGUGCAUUGUAUUUUGGAAGAAUAUAAUUCCAUCAUUCUGUAGGUUUUCAAAUAUAUUUUUAAAGACUUGUUGGGAAAAUGAUUACUUUUGUGAGCUUACAUCUGCUCUAACAGAUUUUUAAAAUUUUUUACUACUGAGAUUAGAAAUAUUCUCUAGUAUAGUCCAAUGAGCAAGAAAUGACUGUGUCAUGUGGUAGCAAUUCUCCCUCUACACACGUAUUACUGUUAAGCCAGUGGUGCUGUGUGGGAAGAGUAGCCUCUGAGAAUGCUGUGACAAAAUGACUCAGGGAGAGGAUGUUUAUCUGGACUUUGAGAAGAGCUUAGAAGUCCUUUCACCAAAGGUCUGGUCCUGAGUGACGGAUGAUGGAGGGAGAGAGAAGAAUCUGCAGCAGUUGUGAAAUGGAUUAUUGCAGGUGUUGAGAACAUAUUUUUACCUGUGGAUUCACUGUGCCUCCUAUAAAUGUUUUAAGUUCAUGAAAAGCAGCUGGAAUACUACUAAGCAUAUGAGACUAUUGAAGAGCAUAAUAAAUUCAGAGAACCCCCUUGUUUCUGUUGCUAGAAGGAAAAAUAAACCCAUCAUGCUCUUUUAGCAGUGAAAAACUGGAAAUCUGCAAAAAAAGGUUUAUAACAGGCAAGCCAGUUAUUCCCAAUCCUACUGGUACUUUAAUUCUGAAGUAAUUGCUUCCAUGUAGUAAGCAACAGAAUAACGGGAAAAAAAAAUAGUAUUAUUCUGGCUUGUAUGUUUUGAACAUUAACAAUUCUGACACAUGGGCACAGGAAAACUUAUCUAAAAUUGCCAAAUAGUAAAAGUGAAAGGAAACUAUUGAUCUCUAAGAAACUCAUUCUUCUUGGAAUCAGAGGGCUUUUGUUUUCUUCUGCUGGUUUGGCAUAUAGAAAGAAAGGAAAGCAUAAAACAUUCUGGUGCUAUAGCACUCUCCAAUGAUGUAUAAUGGGCCAUUGUAUAACUGGGCAGGUAAACUCACAUGAGGAAUAUUUAAAAGGAAACAUGACACAGAUGCUGUUUAGAUGCAAAAUGGAGAAAUGCAAUCAGUAUCUUCAUUUCUACAUAGAUUUCUUAACUAGUAUUUCUACCCAUUGCCCAUCCACCAAGAAUGGAAAAUCACUAGGACUCUUGGAUUCUUAUGUACACCCUCCCAAAAUCAUCAGGCAGGUGUCCAAGUUAAAAAAAAAAAAAUGCGCCAACUACAAGAUAGGACACCACAUCCACAAGGAUAGCUAUAACUAAAAAAAAAAAAAAAAAAAA
rnacentral:lncRNA from 1 species